UACGUAGGUGGCAAGCGUUGUCCGGAUUUACUGGGUGUAAAGGGCGCGUAGGCGGGAUGGCAAGUCAGAUGUGAAAUCUUCGGGCUCAACCCGGAAACUGCAUUUGAAACUGUAGUUCUUGAGUAUCGGAGAGGCAAGCGGAAUUCCUAGUGUAUCGGUGAAAUGCGUAGAUAUUAGGAGGAACACCAGUAGCGAAGGCGGGUUGCUGGACGACAACUGACGCUGAGGCGCGAAAGCGUGGGGAGCAAAC
rnacentral:rRNA from 1 species